rnacentral:rRNA from 1 species
GGCGGCGUGCCUAAUACAUGCAAGUCGAGCGAGCGGAACCAACAGAUUUACUUCGGUAAUGACGUUGGGAAAGCGAGCGGCGGAUGGGUGAGUAACACGUGGGGAACCUGCCCCUAAGUCUGGGAUACCAUUUGGAAACAGGUGCUAAUACCGGAUAAUAAAGCAGAUCGCAUGAUCAGCUUUUGAAAGGCGGCGUAAGCUGUCGCUAAGGGAUGGCCCCGCGGUGCAUUAGCUAGUUGGUAAGGUAACGGCUUACCAAGGCGACGAUGCAUAGCCGAGUUGAGAGACUGAUCGGCCACAUUGGGACUGAGACACGGCCCAAACUCCUACGGGAGGCAGCAGUAGGGAAUCUUCCACAAUGGACGCAAGUCUGAUGGAGCAACGCCGCGUGAGUGAAGAAGAUUUUCGGAUCGUAAAGCUCUGUUGUUAGUGAAGAAGGAUAGAGGUAGUAACUGGCCUUUAUUUGACGGUAAUCAACCAGAAAGUCACGGCUAACUACGUG